rnacentral:rRNA from 1 species
UACGUAGGUGGCAAGCGUUGUCCGGAUUUACUGGGCGUAAAGAGCGCGCAGGCGGUCGGGUAAGUCGAAUGUGAAAGCCCCCGGCUUAACUGGGGAGGGUCAUUCGAUACUGUUCGACUGGAAGGCAGGAGAGGGAAGCGGAAUUCCCGGUGUAGUGGUGAAAUGCGUAGAUAUCGGGAGGAACACCAGUGGCGAAGGCGGCUUCCUGGCCUGUUCUUGACGCUGAGGCGCGAAAGCUAGGGGAGCAAACGGG